AAAAAAAAGAAAAGAAAAGAAAGAAAGAAAAUAAAGAAAAGAAAAGGGAAGAGGAAACCCAUUCUCCAUUUGUUUUCUUCUUCUCCCGUGAACCCAAAACAAAAUUCCCAAUUCUUCAUCUUUUCUCUUCUACACCAAAUUUCUUCAAAAUUCCACCUCUAAUCAACUUUCCAUCUUCUCCCAACAUAUUUUCAAAGAAGAAUUUGAAGAAAAGAAGGGAAAUCAAAGAGAAAAUUCAAGGUUGAGGGAGAGUGAAUAGUAACCAAGGGUUUGAAAAUUUAAAGAAGUGGAAAGGAAAAGUGGAAGUUCCAAAGGGAAAGAAAAGGAAGAGUAGAGAAUUAAAGCUUGUAGAAUAUUUUGGAAAUUCUAAGGUUUGUGCUCAACUCUAUUUUAAUAAAUUCAAGAAAUUGAUAUUUAUGUUCUCUUUGAAAUUUUACUACCCUAGUAGAAAUAGACAAGUGAUUAAGAGAUUAAUUAUAUUAGUAUAAUCAAGGUUGAGAAAUAAUAGAUAGAACAUUUUAAAAUUAAUAUGUAAUUUCACCAAAAGCUAAGUUAUGGAUAUAAUGGAAUGAUUCUAUUUUCUUUGAUAGAAAAAUAGUUUGGAUAGAUAUAGUGACAAUAAAAAAAAAAAAAAAAAAAAAAAGAAGAGAUAUUAGAUUAGAUGAAAAAAAAAAGAAAUUAAAGGAAUAAGAAAAAUGAGACAUAGUGUAAAUCUGAUGUGGAAGAAUAAUAAGAAUAAUAUAAGAUAAAAAUAGGAAUUAAAAAGAAAAAUGAAAUAAGGUAUAUUGUGAUAAAUAAAAAAAAAUAUUAGAUUAGAAAAAAUAAUAAUAAUAAUAAUAAAAAGAAUAAUAGGUAAUUAACAAGUUUUGUCCCCCUGUUUAAAUGUAUGAAUUAUUUAAAGUCUGGCCCUAAUAAGUUUGGUGGGAAUUGUGAGUUAGUUUAAGGGUGUGGCAUGCCAUAUAUAUUUUGCAGUACUGCACUACAGUUACACUGACUCUUGGGAUACAAUGAGGUAUCCUACAGUUAUAGAAUCGGCUUUUGAGCCAUACAGUUAUUUGGCACUUUGUGCUCUACAGUUACAGUUUUCUUAUCUGACUUAACAGUCCCAUUUAAAUUUAUAGGGGCCAAC